rnacentral:rRNA from 1 species
UACGGAGGGUGCAAGCGUUAUCCGGAUUUACCGGGUUUAAAGGGUGCGUAGGUGGGCAGGUAAGUCAGUGGUGAAAUCUUCGAGCUUAACUCGGAAACUGCCAUUGAUACUAUCUGUCUUGAAUUUCCUGGAGGUAAGCGGAAUAUGUCAUGUAGCGGUGAAAUGCUUAGAUAUGACAUAGAACACCAAUUGCGAAGGCAGCUUACUACGGGAAUAUUGACACUGAGGCACGAAAGCGUGGGGAUCAAACAGG